rnacentral:lncRNA from 1 species
ACGGUGGAUAUAAAAUUUUUUGCAGUAGGAGGUACUACUCUCGUGGCACUGUAGUUUUCCGAACCAUUUCAGCUUUUGCGAUCAGAUAAAUUAGUUGUUUUUAAAGAGUUAUCGCAAAUUAUAAGGAUUUUUUUUUAUCGUCGAUUUAAAAAUAAACCUUUAAAAAAAGAGGUUCAACUGCUAUUGAAAUAUUUCCUAAUAACACAAUCUCUGAAUUAUAAUUUACUGAUUCAAUUUAAAAUGAAAUUAACCAAAUAACUUUACCAAUCGAUUUAUCGAAACAAUAAAUAUAUUUUGAGAUAUUAUAAAUUGGAUUUUUUUUCUUUCAUUUUUUAGAGUUUGGAUAGAUUGUAAAACGGUUCCCAAAUUCUCAAAUGAUUGUAGAAUUAUUCUCUAUAUUUUGGAAUAUUGUAAUUCGUGUGAGAAUAAUACAAUACAUGUAAAAAAAUAAAUUUUCUUUUUUCAAAUUUUUAUUUUUAUUCUUAAUUUUGAAAUUAGACAAAUGUGAAAUGAACCUUAAUUUCUAAACGAACUUAGUAGCAUGGACGAAAUAUACCUCGAUUCCAAGAUCAACCAACUGAUAGAGUAAUUGUGUACAGGGGGCCAUCAGAGAUGUUGCAGCUCGCUCGGUUAGCAACAACUGACAUGGAUGAGGACCACAACACGGAGGAGGAAAACACACUGCCUGAUUACAUUGUGGAGGUGCCAUAGUGAUGGUAGGAAGAUAGUGGAGCAGAAAUCGCUUUUUAAUUUUUUUAAAUUAGUUAUCGCUUUAUUUUGUAAUAAGCCCACCAUAUUAAGACCAGACGUUGAGGAAUGAAUUAAGAAUUAUUUGGUUGGAAACAACUUUCAAAGGUGAGGUUUCACCCUCACUUGUAGCUGUAGCUGCCGUUAUCGCUCCGACCUCCGUGGAUAGAUUAGCGUCUAUCACCAACAGAUUUUUGAUCCAAUAAAAUUCUGUGUGAUUGCUUUAUAUAUCUAGUUUCUUUGAGCCUCCAGCACCCAAAUUGUCACCAACAUGAAUGAAAAAAGCUGUUUAACCUGAAUUCUUUCGAUUUUCAAUAUCUCUUCCCCAAUUAGUAAAAACCUGAAAUAGAGAAAUUGGAUCCAGAUACAUAUUAUUUCAAUAUUGAGAUUCAGGUCCAUAAGUUUAGUGGGAUGC